UGGGGAAUAUUGCACAAUGGGCGCAAGCCUGAUGCAGCCAUGCCGCGUGUGUGAAGAAGGCCUUCGGGUUGUAAAGCACUUUCAGCGAGGAGGAAGGUGGUGAGCUUAAUACGCUCAUCAAUUGACGUUACUCGCAGAAGAAGCACCGGCUAACUCCGUGCCAGCAGCCGCGGUAAUACGGAGGGUGCAAGCGUUAAUCGGAAUUACUGGGCGUAAAGCGCACGCAGGCGGUUUGUUAAGUCAGAUGUGAAAUCCCCGGGCUCAACCUGGGAACUGCAUUUGAAACUGGCAAGCUAGAGUCUCGUAGAGGGGGGUAGAAUUCCAGGUGUAGCGGUGAAAUGCGUAGAGAUCUGGAGGAAUACCGGUGGCGAAGGCGGCCCCCCUGGACGAAGACUGACGCUCAGGUGCGAAAGCGUGGGGCAGCAAACAGGAUUAGAUACCCUGGUAGUCCACGCUGUAAACGAUGUCGAUUUUGGAGGUUGUGCCCCUUGAGGCGUGGCUUCCGGAGCUAACGCGUUAAAUCGACCGCCUGGGGAGUACGGCCGCAAGGUU
rnacentral:rRNA from 1 species